GAGUAAAGAUUUCGGUCGCUUUGGGAGGAGCUCGCUUACUAUCAGCUUGUUGGUAGGGUAAUGGCCUACCAAGGCUAUGACGGUUAGGGGGUGUGAGAGCAUGACCCCCAGCAUUGGCACUGAAACACUGGCCAAACACCUACGGGUGGCUGCAGUCGAGAAUCUUCCACAAUGGGGGAAACCCUGAUGGAGCGAUGCUGCGUGCGGGAUGAAGGCCUUCGGGUUGUAAACCGCUUUUGUAGGGGACGAAAUUUUUGACGGUACCCUUUCGAAUAAGAGGUUGCUAACUCUGUGCCAGCAGCAGCGGUAAUACAGAGACCUCAAGCGUUAUCCGGAUUUACUGGGCGUAAAGCGUCUGUAGGGGGUUUAUUAAGUUCCAAGUAAAAUUUCAAGGCUCAACUUUGAAUUCGCUUGGAAAACUAAUAAACUGGAGUCUAGCAGAGGUGCAUGGAACUUGUGGUGUAGGAGUGAAAUCCGUUGAUAUCACAAGGAACACCAAAGGCGAAGGCAUUGCACUGGGCUAGCACUGACCCUGAGAGACGAAAGCGUGGGGAGCAAAACGGAUUAGAUACCCGUGUAGUCCACGCCCUAAACGAUGAAUGCUAAAUGUUCGGGGAUUCGACCCCCUGGGUGUUACAGCUAACGCGUUAAGCAUUCCGCCUGGGAAGUACGGCCGCAAGGCUAAAACUCAAAGGAAUAGACGGGGAUCCGCACAAGCGGUGGAGCGUCUGGUUUAAUUCGACAGUAAGCGUGGUACCUCACCAGGGUUUGACAUCCCUUGACAGCCUUGGAAACAAGGUUUCCUUCGGGCAAGGUGACAGGUGCUGCAUGGUCGUCGUCAGUUCGUGCCGUGAGGUGUUCCGUUAAGUCGGGAAACGAACGAAACCCCUAUUGCAUGUUACAAUUUCUCAUGCAAGACUGCCCGGAUAUACUGGGAGGAAGGUGGGGAUGACGUCAGAUCUGCAUGGUCCUUAUACCCUGGGCGACACAGGCGCUACAAUGGCAGAGACAAAGGGUUGCAAAACCGCAAGGUGAAGCUAAUCCCAAAAACUUUGUCUAAGUUCGGAUUGAAGGCUGCAAUUCGCCUUCAUGAAGCUGGAAUCGCUAGUAAUCGUGAAUCAGCCACGUCACGGUGAAUAUGUUCCCGGAUCUUGUACUCACCGCCCGUCACA
rnacentral:rRNA from 1 species